GUGGGGAAUAUUGGACAAUGGGCGAAAGCCUGAUCCAGCCAUGCCGCGUGUGUGAAGAUGGUCUUCGGAUUGUAAAGCACUUUAAGUUGGGAGGAAGGGUAGUAACCUAAUACGUUGCUACUUUGACGUUACCGACAGAAUAAGCACCGGCUAACUUCGUGCCAGCAGCCGCGGUAAUACGAAGGGUGCAAGCGUUAAUCGGAAUUACUGGGCGUAAAGCGCGCGUAGGUGGUUCAGUAAGUUGGAAGUGAAAUCCCCGGGCUCAACCUGGGAACUGCUUUCAAAACUGCUGAGCUAGAGUACGGUAGAGGGUGGUGGAAUGUCCUGUGUAGCGGUGAAAUGCGUAGAUAUAGGAAGGAACACCAGUGGCGAAGGCGACCACCUGGACUGAUACUGACACUGAGGUGCGAAAGCGUGGGGAGCAAACAGGAUUAGAUACCCUAGUAGUCC
rnacentral:rRNA from 1 species